AUUGAACGCUGGCGGCAGGCCUAACACAUGCAAGUCGAACGGUAACAGGAAGAAGCUUGCUUCUUUGCUGACGAGUGGCGGACGGGUGAGUAAUGUUUGGGAAACUGCCUGAUGGAGGGGGAUAACUACUGGAAACGGUAGCUAAUACCGCAUAACGUCGCAAGACCAAAGAGGGGGACCUUCGGGCCUCUUGCCAUCGGAUGUGCCCAGAUGGGUUUAGCUAGUAGGUGGGGUAACGGCUCACCUAGGCGACGAUCCCUAGCUGGUCUGAGAGGAUGACCAGCCACACUGGAACUGAGACACGGUCCAGACUCCUACGGGAGGCAGCAGUGGGGAAUAUUGCACAAUGGGCGCAAGCCUGAUGCAGCCAUGCCGCGUGUAUGAAGAAGGCCUUCGGGUUGUAAAGUACUUUCAGCGGGGAGGAAGGGAGUAAAGUUAAUACCUUUGCUCAUUGACGUUACCCGCAGAAGAAGCACCGGCUAACUCCGUG
rnacentral:rRNA from 1 species